GCCACUUCUGCAAUGGAUUUGGGGGUCCCUGGGCAGGCGUGUGGGUGGGGCAGAUUUUAGGAAGGGGAUGAGCUGCUGUGGGGGCGUCUCCCUUACUGCGGGAAAUGGAAAGUAUUACAGCUAUGGCUGGUGAGAGUGUCAGUGCCAGAGGCCAGGUCUUUGCCAGGUGGAGAGGACACCCUUAUGCCCUACCCCCAAGUUCCAGCACCUCUCCAAGAGCCCUUGGCCCCGGAAGCAGCAACAAAGUGACACUGGACUGGGGAAGAGGAAGCACAACUUUAUUUUCUGGCCCGAAGAUAAACCUGCCAGUAAUUUCAGCAAAUGAAACGUGGAACGCGUCAAGGCCAGAGGAUGGAAAAGGCUCCGGUUUUGAUAAAAGGAGGCCUGCUUGGCUUGGAAUCCUCUCUCCUGCUGGUUGGAAGAUGCAAAGAUGUUUCCAGAGAGGGGCUGAAGAAUUGAGGGGAAAGAAAUGAGCCCAGUAUGAGUCCCCUUUCAGGGCUGAGCGCAUAUAAAACCAAACAACUUGGAACAGCUCCAAGAGAGGGGAUUAAAGCAACAUGUUAUUCUGAGUGAUUGCUUAAUUUAUUGAGCUGCGGCUGGAUCUGUAAUGAAAUACAGCCCUUGUAACUGAUAACCUCCUGCUGCAAUUGAACUUCCACAAUUAAGGAAUAUUUUCCGAGUUUCUCUGGAACGGCUCUGAAUUUCUAGCCUCUGUGACAGGGUGCUUCUGAACAUUUGUUUUCCAGGCAAUUUUUUUUUUCUUGAGUAUCAGACUGAUGUUAAUAAAUAAGCAGCAUUUUAUUGAGUGCUUUGUGGGAACCAGGAACUUUAUAUACAUUAUAUCUAAUCCUGACACUAAUCCUGACAAUAUCCCGUGAAAUAACCCCUAUUAUUCCCUAUUUUAUGGAUGUGAAGCCACGAGACGUUCGGUCAUUUUCUAGAGUGGUGCUGUCCAAGACAGUAGCUGUUAUGGCUCCUUGUGGUUAUUGAUGUGUAAAUUAGUUAAAAUUAAAUAAAUUUUAAAGUUGACUCCCUAGGUUGCACUAACAAUGAGUUCAAGUGCCCAGCAGCCUUGUGUGGCUGAUGGCUACCACGUUGGACAGUGCAGAUAUAGACCAUUUGAAGGUUGCGCGAGUGCUAUUGAUCAGCACUGACUCAGAUUUCCUUUUUUUUUUUUUUUUUUUUUUUUGAGAUGGAGGCUUGUCUAUCAUCCAGGUUGGAGUGCAAUGGUGCAGUCCGCUCACUGGAACCACCACC
rnacentral:lncRNA from 1 species